rnacentral:rRNA from 1 species
GAUCAUGGCUCAGGACGAACGCUGGCGGCGCGCCUAACACAUGCAAGUCGAACGAGAGAGAGGAAGCUUGCUUCCUCAAUCGAGUGGCGAACGGGUGAGUAACGCGUGAGGAACCUGCCUCAAAAGAGGGGGACAACAGUUGGAAACGACUGCUAAUACCGCAUAAGCCCACGGGUCGGCAUCGACCAGAGGGAAAAGGAGCAAUCCGCUUUGAGAAUGGCCUCGCGUCCGAUUAGCUGG